GGGUAGGUAGAGCGUAAUUGGUAUCGCACCGGACUGUAAAUCCGGCUCUUAAUUGACACUGUUGGUUCAAGUCCAGCCCUGCCCACCA
rnacentral:tRNA from 1 species